GACUGCACCUGCUCGGGGACCUUGGCGAGCUGGCUGCCCGGGGCGUAGCCGGAGUUGGUGCUGUCCGGGUAGCCGCACCGGCUCGGGACCGGGGCGCAGCCG
rnacentral:tRNA from 1 species